AAAAAUUAAGCGAUGCAACGUGGUGGAUUAUCCCGUUACCGGUCAGCUCCAGCAACAUGGUUAGAAGCACUUCUUGAAUCCGAACCCGAAACCGAAACGGAACUAGUCCUUAACCCUUCUUCUCCUAUUUUCCACACACCCAAUAAACCACCACCUCACCCAUCAACUACUCAGCAGCUACCGGACAUUAAACCGGUAACCGGUGGCGGCGAUCUGGGCGGUGGUAGUAGUUUUCUAAGACAGAAUAGUUCCCCGGCGGAGUUUCUUGCACAUAUUAGCUCUGAUGCUUACUUGUCAACUUAUGGAAUUCCCUCCAGUCUCGAAUUUCUUUCUUCAUCUCACCCCACUAAGCGACCUAGAGAAGCUGAUUCCGAUACUUCACCAAGAAAAUUGAAGGGAGAGCCAAGUCGGCAGUUACAUGGUUCUGGUGGGUCACUGGAUGCUGAAAUGGAGAAGCUUAUGGAUGAUUUGGUGCCUUGUAAGGUCCGAGCAAAGCGUGGUUGUGCCACCCAUCCUCGCAGCAUAGCGGAGCGGGUUCGUCGAACGCGUAUAAGUGACAGAAUUAGGAAGCUUCAGGAACUGGUGCCAAAUAUGGACAAGGAAAAAUGAUGAACAAGACACCCACCUUUAAUGUCAAAUUGAUAUCUUCUUCUUUAUGACAUCAAUGGUCCUAAUGGCAAACCAACACAGCUGACAUGUUGGAAGAAGCCGUCGAAUACGUCAAGUUUCUGCAGAAACAGAUUCAGGAACUUACGGAGCAUCAGAAGAAAUGCACGUGCUCAAUGAAAGAUCAAUAAUGAGAAGAAGAGAAUUCCACUAGCGUAUAUAGGCAAUAGUUUGCUUAGAUGCAUGCACUUUUAGAUAUGGUAAUUCACUCCUCUAUAUCCUAUUCGUCUUCAUGUGUAGAUAUUAUUGGAAAUUCACAAGAGCUUUGCUACUUUAGAAUCCAGAAUCAGCUUGGUUUUUUAGUAUUAAAUUUAGGUUGUACUCUUUUCUGGUAUUAGUUGUAUCAUGUUGUAUAUGUAGUGUCAAUUUGCUUAAUAGUCGAAUUUCUGCGGCAGAAACACUUCACUUUCUGAAGAUGUAAUCAUGAUUUGUAGACCUGUCAUGCUGAAAGCAAAAUCAAAUCAAUAAAUAUUGUUGCAUCAGAGUGGAUUUUUAACA